rnacentral:lncRNA from 1 species
GUUGUAUUUUGGACACUGGUGACAAGCCUUCGUUGUGUUUUGGACACUGGGGACCUGCCUUUUUUGCGUUUUGGACACUGGUGACCAGCUUUCGUUGUGUUUUGGACACUGGUGACCAGCUUUUGUAGUGUUGUCAUUGUGUUUUGGACGCUAGUCACCAGCCUUUGUUGUGUUUUGGACACUGGUAACCAGCCUUUGUUGUGUUUUGAAUACUGGUGACCAGCCUUUGUUGUGUUUUCGCUGGUGACCAGCCUUUGUUGUGUUUUCGCUGGUGACCAGCUUUUGUUGUGUUUUCGCUGGUGUCUAGGCUUUGUUGUGUUUUGGAUGCUGUUGUCUAGGCUUCGUUGUGUUUUGGAUGCUGGUGGCCAGCCUUUUUUGUGUUUUGGACGCUGGUGACCAGCAUUCGUUAUGUUUUCGCUGGUGACCAGCCUUGCUUGUGUUUUCUCUGGUGAUCAGGCUUGCUUGUGUUUUUGCUGGUGACCAGCCUUGCUUGUGUUUUUGACGCUGGUGACCAGCUUUCGUUGUCUUUUGGAUGCUGGUGACCAGCUUUCGUUGUCUUUUGGAUGCUGGUGACCAGCUUUUGCUGUGUUUUGGAUGCUGGUGACCAGCUUUUGCUGUGUUUUGGAUGAUGGUGACCAGCUUUUGCUGUGUUUUGGACGCUGGUGACCAGCCUUGCUUGUGUUUUCAAUGGUGAACAGCCUUCCUUGUGUUUUCGUUGGUAUGUAGCCUUCGUUGUGCUUUCCCUGGUGACCAGUCUUUGUUGUGUUUUGUACACUAGUGACCAGCCUUUUUUGUGUUUUUGACAUUAGGUGACCAGUAUUCGUUGUGUUUUUGAUAUUAGGUGACCAGCAUUUGUUGCGUUUUGGACACUGGUGACCAGCCUAUGUUGUGUUUUCGCUGGUCUCUAGCCUUUGUUGUGUUUUGGAUGCUGGUGAACAGCCUUUGUUGUGUUUUGGACACUGGUGAAUAGCUUUCGUUGUGUUUUGGACACUGGUGACCAGCCUUGCUUGUGUUUUUGCUGGUGACCAG